rnacentral:rRNA from 1 species
AGUGAACGCUGGCGGUAGGCCUAACACAUGCAAGUCGAACGGCAGCACAGUAAGAGCUUGCUCUUACGGGUGGCGAGUGGCGGACGGGUGAGGAAUACAUCGGAAUCUACUUUUUCGUGGGGGAUAACGUAGGGAAACUUACGCUAAUACCGCAUACGACCUACGGGUGAAAGCAGGGGAUCUUCGGACCUUGCGCGAUUGAAUGAGCCGAUGUCGGAUUAGCUAGUUGGCGGGGUAAAGGCCCACCAAGGCGACGAUCCGUAGCUGGUCUGGGAGGAUGAUCAGCCACACUGGAACUGAGACACGGUCCAGACUCCUACGGGAGGCAGCAGUGGGGAAUAUUGGACAAUGGGCGCAAGCCUGAUCCAGCCAUACCGCGUGGGUGAAGAAGGCCUUCGGGUUGUAAAGCCCUUUUGUUGGGAAAGAAAAGCAGCAGGUUAAUACCCCGCUGUUCUGACGGUACCCAAAAAAUAAGCACCGGCUAACUUCGUG